GAUGAACGCUGGCGGCGUGCCUAAUACAUGCAAGUCGAGCGAACGGACGAGAAGCUUGCUUCUCUGAUGUUAGCGGCUGACGGGUGAGUAACACGUGGAUAACCUACCUAUAAGACUGGGAUAACUUCGGGAAACCGGAUCUAAUACCGGAUAAUAUUUUGAACCGCAUGGUUCAAAAGUGAAAGACGGUCUUGCUGUCACUUAUAGAUGGAUCCGCGCUGCAUUAGCUAGUUGGUAAGGUAACGGCUUACCAAGGCAACGAUGCAUAGCCGACCUGAGAGGGUGAUCGGCCACACUGGAACUGAGACACGGUCCAGACUCCUACGGGAGGCAGCAGUAGGGAAUCUUACGCAAUGGGGGAAAGCCUGACGGAGCAAAGCCGCGUGAGUGCUGAAGGUCUUCGGAUCGUAAAACUCUGUUAUUAGGGAAGAACAUAUGUGUAAGUAACUGUGAACAUAUUGACGGUACCUAAUCAGAAAGCCACGGCUAACUACGUG
rnacentral:rRNA from 1 species